AUUUAAAAUUUCCUACAAUUCCCAAAUCAUCGUCUUCCACGACAACUUCGCAGAACCCCACCUACACCUUUCGUUAAUUCUUUUGAUUUGUUUCUUUAUGUAUGUUUCUAUCUUCUUACUUUCUUUCCUUAAUUGUUUUCAUCUUCAAAUUUGUGAAAAAAUUUCGAUUUUUACUUCCUUUUAGAGCCGAGAUUUUAGCCCCAAUUUUAGCUCAAGCCGCUGUCAUGAUUGGCAUGCUCUUCUUUCCAUUUCGACAUUCGCAGAUUCAAGUCAAUUGGAUGAAUGUGGACAGAUUUUCGGGAUUGAACUAAUUAAUGGCGACAAGUGUGAAUUUCAUACCCAACAAGCAAUUCAUGAGUUCUGCUAAGAUGCCCCCUAAGGUGAAUAAUAACAGUAAGACAUACUUUUUGUUAAGGCCCAAGUCUAGUAACAUCCUGUAUUUGUUCUUGCGAUUUGAAUUUAGCUCGAAAUCAUGGAAAGCCUUUUUUGAAUGCAUAACGAUCAUGUUUGUAGGGAAAUACAUCGGUAAUUAAGCCCGAAGUCUGCUUCUAUGGUAAAUUAACCUGCAAUAUAUGUCUUCUUUGUGUAAAUGGGGCAUAUUUUUGAUGUUUGAGUCAAGUUGGGAGUCGCAUGUGAUUGGGAAAGCCAAGAUGAUUUGUUUCGAAGUUCAUGUUUGCCUAUUUAGUUUCUCGAACUCUGGAUUGUAAACUCUAUUCAAUUGGCAUGUAAUAACUUGAUAUGAUAAUGAAUUGGGGACUAUUGGGAUGGAGUGACUAAUUGCUCUCUGUGUUUCUUGA